rnacentral:rRNA from 1 species
AAAUAGAUACCCGGGGUAGUCCACGCCGUAAACGGUGGGCACUAGGUGUGGGCAGCAUUCCACGUUGUCCGUGCCGUAGCUAACGCAUUAAGUGCCCCGCCUGGGGAGUACGGCCGCAAGGCUAAAACUCAAAGGAAUUGACGGGGGCCCACACAAGCGGCGGAGCAUGUGGCUUAAUUCGACGCAACGCGAAGAACCUUACCAAGGCUUGACAUACACCGGAAACAUCCAGAGAUGGGUGCCCCCUUGUGGUCGGUGUACAGGUGGUGCAUGGCUGUCGUCAGCUCGUGUCGUGAGAUGUUGGGUUAAGUCCCGCAACGAGCGCAACCCUUGUCCCGUGUUGCCAGCAGGCCCUUGUGGUGCUGGGGACUCACGGGAGACCGCCGGGGUCAACUCGGAGGAAGGUGGGGACAACGUCAAGUCAUCAUGCCCCUUAUGUCUUGGGCUGCACACGUGCUACAAUGGCCGGUACAAAGAGCUGCGAUACCGUGAGGUGGAGCGAAUCUCAAAAAGCCGGUCUCAGUUCGGAUUGGGGUCUGCAACUCCG